rnacentral:rRNA from 1 species
UACGUAGGCAGCAAGCGUUGUUCGGAUUCAUUGGGCGUAAAGGGCGCGUAGGCGGCGGGGUAAGUCGGGUGUGAAAUCUCAGAGCUCAACUCUGAAACUGCACUCGAUACUGCUCUGCUUGAGGACUGGAGAGGAGACUGGAAUUCACGGUGUAGCAGUGAAAUGCGUAGAUAUCGUGAGGAAGACCAGUGGCGAAGGCGGAUCUCUGGACAGCUCCUGACGCUGAGGCGCGAAGGCUAGGGGAGCAAACGGGG